rnacentral:rRNA from 1 species
UUUGGACGAGGGGCCCCUCUCGGGUUACCGAAUUCAGACAAACUCCGAAUGCCAAUUAAUUUAACUUGGGAGUCAGAACAUGGGUGAUAAGGUCCGUGUUCGAAAGGGAAACAGCCCAGACCACCAGCUAAGGUCCCAAAAUAUAUGUUAAGUGGAAAAGGAUGUGGCGUUGCCCAGACAACUAGGAUGUUGGCUUAGAAGCAGCCAUCAUUUAAAGAGUGCGUAAUAGCUCACUAGUCGAGUGACACUGCGCCGAAAAUGUACCGGGGCUAAACAUAUUACCGAAGCUGUGGAUUGUCCUUUGGACAAUGGUAGGAGAGCGUUCUAAGGGCGUUGAAGCAUGAUCGUAAGGACAUGUGGAGCGCUUAGAAGUGAGAAUGCCGGUGUGAGUAGCGAAAGACGGGUGAGAAUCCCGUCCACCGAUUGACUAAGGUUUCCAGAGGAAGGCUCGUCCGCUCUGGGUUAGUCGGGUCCUAAGCUGAGGCCGACAGGCGUAGGCGAUGGAUAACAGGUUGAUAUUCCUGUACCACCUAUAAUCGUUUUAAUCGAUGGGGGGACGCAGUAGGAUAGGCGAAGCGUGCGAUUGGAUUGCACGUCUAAGCAGUAAGGCUGAGUAUUAGGCAAAUCCGGUACUCGUUAAGGCUGAGCUGUGAUGGGGAGAAGACAUUGUGUCUUCGAGUCGUUGAUUUCACACUGCCGAGAAAAGCCUCUAGAUAGAAAAUAGGUGCCCGUACCGCAAACCGACACAGGUAGUCAAGAUGAGAAUUCUAAGGUGAGCGAGCGAACUCUCGUUAAGGAACUCGGCAAAAUGACCCCGUAACUUCGGGAGAAGGGGUGCUCUUUAGGGUUAACGCCCAGAAGAGCCGCAGUGAAUAGGCCCAAGCGACUGUUUAUCAAAAACACAGGUCUCUGCUAAACCGUAAGGUGAUGUAUAGGGGCUGACGCCUGCCCGGUGCUGGAAGGUUAAGAGGAGUGGUUAGCUUCUGCGAAGCUACGAAUCGAAGCCCCAGUAAACGGCGGCCGUAACUAUAACGGUCCUAAGGUAGCGAAAUUCCUUGUCGGGUAAGUUCCGACCCGCACGAAAGGCGUAACGAUUUGGGCACUGUCUCAACGAGAGACUCGGUGAAAUCAUAGUACCUGUGAAGAUGCAGGUUACCCGCGACAGGACGGAAAGACCCCGUGGAGCUUUACUGUAGCCUGAUAUUGAAAUUCGGCACAGCUUGUACAGGAUAGGUAGGAGCCUUUGAAACGUGAGCGCUAGCUUACGUGGAGGCGCUGGUGGGAUACUACCCUAGCUGUGUUGGCUUUCUAACCCGCACCACUUAUCGUGGUGGGAGACAGUGUCAGGCGGGCAGUUUGACUGGGGCGGUCGCCUCCUAAAAGGUAACGGAGGCGCUCAAAGGUUCCCUCAGAAUGGUUGGAAAUCAUUCAUAGAGUGUAAAGGCAUAAGGGAGCUUGACUGCGAGACCUACAAGUCGAGCAGGGUCGAAAGACGGACUUAGUGAUCCGGUGGUUCCGCAUGGAAGGGCCAUCGCUCAACGGAUAAAAGCUACCCCGGGGAUAACAGGCUUAUCUCCCCCAAGAGUUCACAUCGACGGGGAGGUUUGGCACCUCGAUGUCGGCUCAUCGCAUCCUGGGGCUGUAGUCGGUCCCAAGGGUUGGGCUGUUCGCCCAUUAAAGCGGUACGCGAGCUGGGUUCAGAACGUCGUGAGACAGUUCGGUCCCUAUCCGUCGUGGGCGUAGGAAAUUUGAGAGGAGCUGUCCUUAGUACGAGAGGACCGGGAUGGACAUACCUCUGGUGUACCAGUUGUCGUGCCAACGGCAUAGCUGGGUAGCUAUGUGUGGACGGGAUAAGUGCUGAAAGCAUCUAAGCAUGAAGCCCCCCUCAAGAUGAGAUUUCCCAACUUCGGUUAUAAGAUCCCUCAAAGAUGAUGAGGUUAAUAGGUUCGAGGUGGAAGCAUGGUGACAUGUGGAGCUGACGAAUACUAA